AGCAACAGAAGAAGCACCGGCUAACUCCGUGCCAGCAGCCGCGGUAAGUACGGAGGGUGCGAGCGUUAAUCGGAAUUACUGGGCGUAAAAGCGCAUGCAGGUGGUUUGUUAAGUCAGAUGUGAAAAAGCCCGGGCUCAAACCUCGGAAACUGCAUUUGAAAAACUGGCAGACUAGAGUACUGUAGAGGGGGUAGAAUUUCAGGUGUAGCGGUGAAAAUGCGUAGAGAUCUGAAGGAAUACCGGUGGCGAAGGCGGCCCCUGGACAGAUACUGACACUCAGAUGCGAAAGCGUGGGGAGCAAACAGGAUUAGAUACCCUGGUAG
rnacentral:rRNA from 1 species